rnacentral:rRNA from 1 species
AGCAGCCGCGGUAAUUCCAGCUCCAAUAGCGUAUAUUAAAGUUGUUGCAGUUAAAAAGCUCGUAGUUGAAUUUCGGGGUUAGUAGGUUGGUCAUGCCUCUGGUAUGUACUGGUCUCACUGAUUCCUCCUUCCUUAUGAACCGUAAUGCCAUUAAUUUGGUGUUGCGGGGAAUUUGGACUGUUACUUUGAAAAAAUUAGAGUGUUUAAAGCAAGCUAACGCUUGAAUACAUUAGCAUGGAAUAAUGAAAUAGGACGUUCGAUCUUAUCUUGUUGGUUUCUAGGAUUGACGUAAUGAUUAAUAGGGAUAGUUGGGGGCAUUAGUAUUCAAUUGUCAGAGGUGAAAUUCUUGGAUUUAUUGAAGACUAACUACUGCGAAAGCAUUUGCCAAGGAUGUUUUCACUAAUCAAGAACGAAAGUUAGGGGAUCGAAGACGAUCAGAUACCGUCGUAGUCUUAACCAUAAACUAUGCCGACUAGGGAUCGGAUGAUGUUAAUUUUUAAUGACUCAUUCGGCGCCUUAA